rnacentral:SRP_RNA from 1 species
CCCUCGGCUCGGCGUACGUUUUGCCGCUAACCCCGUCAGGUCCGGAAGGAAGCAGCGGUCCGCGGAUCUGAACAUGUCGCUGAAUACCGGGGGGUU